rnacentral:rRNA from 1 species
GAGUGGCGAACGGGUGAGUAAUACGUGAGUAACCUGCCCUUGACUCUGGGAUAAGCCUGGGAAACUGGGUCUAAUACUGGAUAUGACCUCCUGUCGCAUGGUGGGGGGUGGAAAGGGUUUGUACUGGUUGUGGAUGGGCUCACGGCCUAUCAGCUUGUUGGUGGGGUAAUGGCCUACCAAGGCGACGACGGGUAGCCGGCCUGAGAGGGUGACCGGCCACACUGGGACUGAGACACGGCCCAGACUCCUACGGGAGGCAGCAGUGGGGAAUAUUGCACAAUGGGCGCAAGCCUGAUGCAGCGACGCCGCGUGAGGGAUGACGGCCUUCGGGUUGUAAACCUCUUUCAGCACGGAAGAAGCGAAAGUGACGGUACGUGCAGAAGAAGCGCCGGCUAACUACGUGCCAGCAGCCGCGGUAAUACGUAGGGCGCAAGCGUUGUCCGGAAUUAUUGGGCGUAAAGAGCUCGUAGGCGGUUUGUCGCGUCUGCUGUGAAAGCCCGGGGCUUAACCCCGGGUGUGCAGUGGGUACGGGCAGACUUGAGUGCAGUAGGGGAGACUGGAACUCCUGGUGUAGCGGUGAAAUGCGCAGAUAUCAGGAAGAACACCGAUGGCGAAGGCAGGUCUCUGGGCUGUUACUGACGCUGAGGAGCGAAAGCAUGGGGAGCGAACAGGAUUAGAUACCCUGGUAGUCCAUGCCGUAAACGUUGGGCACUAGGUGUGGGGGACAUUCCACGUUUUCCGCGCCGUAGCUAACGCAUUAAGUGCCCCGCCUGGGGAGUACGGCCGCAAGGCUAAAACUCAAAGGAAUUGACGGGGG